rnacentral:rRNA from 1 species
AGUGGCGAAAGGGGCAGUAAUGCAUGGGUAACUUACCUUGGAGUCAGGCAUAGCCGUCCUAACGGACGGGUAAUUCUUGAUGGCCCAGCGUGGUGGCAUCAUCGUGCUGGUAAAGAAUUUCGCUCCGGGAGAGACCCAUGUCGUAUUAGCUAGUUGGCGGGGUAACGGCCCACCAAGGCUAAGAUGCGUAGCGGGUGUGAGAGCACGACCCGCGCCACUGGCACUGAGACACUGGCCAGACACCUACGGGUGGCUGCAGUCGAGGAUCUUCGUCAAUGGGCGAAAGCCUGAACGAGCGACGCCGCGUGCGCGAUGAAGGCCUUCGGGUUGUAAAGCGCGAAAGCGGGGACGAAGCCGAAAGGUUGACUGAUCCACAGUAAGCUCGGGCUAAGUUCGUGCCAGCAGCCGCGGUAAGACGAACCGAGCGAACGUUGUUCGGAAUCACUGGGCUUAAAGGGCGCGUAGGCGGGCAUUCAAGUCUGUGGUGAAAUCCGGCAGCUUAACUGUCGAAUUGCCAUGGAUACUGGGUGUCUCGAGGGAGGCAGGGGUGCGCGGAACUAAUGGUGGAGCGGUGAAAUGCGUUGAUAUCAUUAGGAACUCCGGUGGCGAAGGCGGCGCACUGGUCCUCUUCUGACGCUGAGGCGCGAAAGCCAGGGGAGCAAACGGGAUUAGAUACCCCGGUAGUCCUGGCCCUAAACGUUGGGUACUAGA